rnacentral:piRNA from 1 species
UGAGCUGACAGGAGUCUGUGUCUGGUGUGU